rnacentral:tRNA from 1 species
GGGGAUGUAGCUCAAUGGUAGAGUGCAUGUUUGAUUAACAUUUAUGAGACCCUGGGUUCAAUUUCCAGUACCA